rnacentral:lncRNA from 1 species
AUGGUGUUCUCUUCGGCACAAUUAAUUUUGCAAAGUUCAGAAAUGUGCCAGACAGAGCCCCUGGCACGCAGUCAGGACUCUACAGACACACCUUGAGUAGGAAACAGGCUUGUUUGUUUCAUCUGUGAUUUAUGUGAUGCACCAGCACCAAGGCCAACGUGUUUUUUAAAGACCUUUCGAUGAAACUCCAAAGCAAUUUAUAAAUUGGCAAAAUGAAGCUUGUUUUGUAAAAUAACUCUUCCUUGUUGAUCAUGUAAUUAAAUGGGCAACAAAACACCUGAAAGGACAUUUACUGAAAAGUAGACUCCCAAAACAAAAAUAUGUAUUUCACAGCUAGAUACGGUCGCUAUUAGCGUCCUAAUGGCCAACUCCAUCCAUGUGCGUAUUUUGAACACUAAAAACGCCUCCUGUUACCCCUAAGACCUUGUUUGGAUAACAUUUUUCUAUUAUAAGUACUCGAAACCAACCCCAUUUAAGAUGUUUACCCUUAUUCUUGAGUCCUUGAUGGUUUGGGAAAUUUAUCAUUAUUCAUAUUGCACAAUCCUGUCACUGUCUUUUCCAUUAGGCACAGUGCCUAAGGUCCACAAUAUUUUUAGAGGCCCACAAAAAAUAUUUUAAUUUCUUUUCAAAUCAGAAGGAAAAAAAAUUUAGGUUUAAGAAAGUAUUUUAAUAUAUAUUAAUAUAUUUGUUUUUGUGCUAAUACAAUCUUAAAAUGUAUGUAUAUAUGUGUGUGUGUAUAUGUAUAUAUAUUUUAAUGGAGUAAGGGGCUCAACGAAGGCAAAAAGGCCUAGAGCCCAAGAAAAACAUGAUGUGGCCCUGUUGCCUGGGGUUGAAAAAUCCCAUUCCAUGAGAAGAAUUUAGUUUUAAGAAUAUUACAUAAAAUGCUCAUUUCUGUGGCCUUGCUAUAAUAGAAAGAUGGAGAUUCAGAGUAGUGAUAAUGGCUAACAUCCACCUGAUACACACCAUGUGUCCAUUACCUCUUAAUCCUCACAGCACACCUGUGAAAUAGGUACUAUUCUCACACUUAGGGGGUAAUGCAGGUUUUGUGGGGCCUGCAAUUUAUGCAAUUUGGGUGGUCCUCUUAAAGAAAAAGCAAAUACUGUGUAUUAGUCCGUUCUCACACUGCUAUAAAGAACUGCGCGAGACUGGGUAAUUUAUAAAGGAAAGAGGUUUAAUUGACUCACAGUUCCACAUGGCUGGGGAGACCUCAGGAAACUUAACAAUCGUGGUGGAAGGAGAAGCAAGUACCUUCUUCACAAGGAAGCGGAAAGAAUUGUGAGCGGAGGAACUUGCCAAACACAAAACCGUCAGAUCGCGUGAGAAUUCAGUUACUAUCACGAGAACAACACGGGAAAACUGUCCCCAUAAUCAAGUCAUUUCUCUCCCUAACAAGUGAGGAUUACAAUUCAAGAUGAGGUUUGGGUAGGAACACAAAGCCUGACCCUAUCCCACAGCAUGUCCAGGCUGCCCUAGCACCACCCAAUAGAAGGGAAAAUGGCAGAGGGAAAGUCCUAGUGGAAAGAGACCUCAGUCUCAGCUAAUUGUGGUGACAAUAUAUUGCUUUUGCAAAUUGUACAUAAACAUAUGACCAGGUGAAUGUAUCGCCAAGGCUCCUGCCAAGGCCUGGGAUGGAGGCCUAGAGAAGAUGCCCGAAAGUUUAUGCUGUGUGAGCUUCACAGAAGACCUGCCUUCCAUGUAUACCCAUUUUACAGAACUGUUGUGGAAGAGGCACCAUCUUUCACUGCGUUCGUUGAAAGGAAGGAAUUGGAACCAAUUCUGGUGAUCUACUUUCCAUGUGGUCUGUUUGGAAAGAGCCUGGCUGAGAAUGCAGACCCUCAGAGAAGUGACUAGCAGAGCUGAGAGAUGGAGACAGACCAAAUUCUGGGAUCACUGUUGGAGUCCUUGGAUCUUGUCCAGCCUGAACCUCUGGACAUUGCUGUUACAUGAGCCAAUAAAUCCCCUUCGUUUCUCUGUCUCUCAUUCUGUUUCUCUUCAUCUCCCUCUUAUCCAUUAUUUGUUUAUUAAUUUUUCUUUUAUUAAAGCUGUUUGGUUUUUA